AAUGUCUACAACAAAACGUGACAUCACUGGAUGUAAGAGACCAAUUGAAAGCAAUGGUUCCGUAUAUGGCCCGAAAAAAAAACGGAACGGAAACAGAAUGAAAAUCCGUUUGUGUGCAAAAGGCCUAAAUGUGUCGAGCACAGCUAAAAAACUGGGGGUCAUUUACGACAGGCGCUGCACCCUUUUUUGCCAUUAAAAAUGUUGAAAGACCCCGCUUUACAAAUUUAAA